UCCAAGAGAGAAAUGGGAAUGACGAGGA
rnacentral:piRNA from 1 species